rnacentral:rRNA from 1 species
CGUGCAAAGGUAGCAUAAUCAUUUGCCUUAUAAUUGAAGGCUAGUAUGAAUGGUUUGACGAGAAUUAAGCUGUCUCUUUUUAACUAAAUAUAACUUUAUUAAGAGGUGAAGAAGCCUGUAUUUUAUUGAAAGACAAGAAGACCCUAUCGAGCUUUAAAGAAUUUAGUAGAUUUACCAUAUAUUAAUAAAAAAGUAAAGCAACUAAAUAUUUUGGUUGGGGCGACUGAGGAACAAACAAAGCUUCCUUUAUGCUAAUUAAAACUUACAAGUAUUGAUCCAAUUUAUUUGAUUAAAGAAAUUAGUUACCGUAGGGAUAACAGCAUAAUCCCCUUUGAGAGUUCUCAUCGAAAAGGGGGUUUGUGACCUCGAUGUUGGACCAGAAUACCCAGAAGAUGCAGCCGUCUUCAAUGGUUGGUCUGUUCGACCAUU